rnacentral:rRNA from 1 species
ACAUAGGCUCCAAGCGUUGUUCGGAAUUACUGGGCGUAAAGCGAGUGUAGGCUGUCCGCCAAGUCGAUUGUGAAAUCUCCCGGCUCAACUGGGAGGGUGCGGUCGAAACUGGCGGACUAGAGUUCGGGAGAGGAGAGUGGAAUUCCUGGCGUAGCGGUGAAAUGCGUAGAUAUCAGGAGGAACACCGGCGGUGAAGACGGCUCUCUGGACCGAUACUGACGCUGAGACUCGAAAGCGUGGGGAGCAAACAGGA